AGGAAGCUUCCUAUCAGACUCUCUGCCUGGCCUGAGAUAUCCAGUUAACACCUGCAAUUCAGAAUACCCUCUCACCCAGCAAUAAAGCAUCCAGCCUUUGCAUCUGUAACAACCUCCUCUGUAAUUUGUGCAUUCUAUGGAUGCUCCAAAUCAUAAUACAAUCCAUCCAUGACUUCAGACAGAUGAAAACAGUUCCUUCUAAAAACAGAGGCUGAUGUUUUUAAAAGACAAUAAGAGAAGAAUGUGAGCUCCCCAUGGCUGCAGUAGAAGGUGCUGGAUGAGAGGAGCAUCUCCAGAGCACGGAAGACAAAGCAGCCUUAUCCUCACCUUUUCCACCUCAAUUUCCAUUUUCCUUCAAGGCAAAACUCCCACUUCUGGCAGAUUAAAUGAAAUGAAGACACUGAGCUCUGCAAGUACACUGCUUUUUGAAUCCCAGAGCUAUUUCAGCCUGGUUAAGAAUCAUUGCUGGGAAACUAGUGUGGUUGUUUGGAGUGAACUUGCUUGUCAAAUGCCUCUUUAAAAAGCGAGUGAAGAUAAUUGCAAGUCAGCUGGAAGUGCUGCCAAGAUAUGACCUCCAGGAAGGCCCAGAAGACAAGUGAUAUUGUGUGGACUGCUACAGCGCAAUGUCUAACUGAUUCAAAAUGAAGAAUCAAUUUGAAAUUAAGAUGAGAAAAGGCAUCCAGCACUUAUAUUAUAGCAAAAAACAUUGUCACCAGGCCCUGGGAAAGAUGAGACCACCUCCCUUCCCUUCUCAGGCUCCCUUUCCCUGUCAGACUGUAGCUCUUAAAGGCUGUCAUCCUCCAAGGGUAUUCCCUAAGUACAGCAUAGCAUCUCUGUUACCCUUUGAAUUCAACAAUAUUGAUCUCCUCCAACAUUUUCAUUCCUUUAGUCAAAAGUCAGCUGUCAAACGCAAGGCACAAGUGCAACUUUAAGGAAUUCAUGGCCAAUAUUUGUCAUGUCAUUUCAUGGAUUGUCUGCAGGCACAUAAAACAUAUAAUGAGGAUACUGAUCCAAGAUACAUGGCACACAAUUAAAUUGUGAAAAAACAUGACUCUGAGUCCAGAAGUUCUUAUUUUUUUGCAGUCUUCAGAGUAUCGUAUAGGCCCCUUGAAAAAUAAAUUUGCAGAGUGUGAAUGUUAAUUUACUUUCACCUUCAGAAAACAGAUUUUCCACAUUUAUAAAAGAGAAAUAGUGACUAUUCUAGACAAUAGAGCCCAGCAAGAAUACUCAAACUAGUAUAACCCUAUUUCUCUAUACCACAAAGACAUCUUGUAGGCAUGUUCCUCUGAAGGACUUGACUUAGAAUUAUGCUUUUUUUCCUCCUUUUCUCUCUAAAAGCAAAAAGCACCAUAAUCUUGCUGUAGUAUAAUCAAAACAGAGUCCGAUGUGAAACCAGAGCCUUGAGUUUUCAUCCUUCAUUUGUUACUUAAAAGUUGACAUAAGAAAAAUUAUUUAACUUCUCUUAACCUCAGUUUCUUAUCUAUAAAAUGGGAUUAUAAAAUGUAUCUCACAAAGUAGUUAUGAGGAUUAAAGGAAAUGGGAAACAUGCUUAUUUGGUUUUGAAUCCUGGUUUGGUCUAACUAUCAAUAAAACUCAUUAAGAUGGAA